AGUCAUACGCUCGUCUCAAAGAUUAAGCCAUGCGUGUCUAAGUAUAAACCAUUUUAUGCGGUGAAACUGCGAAUGGCUCAUUAUAUCCGUUAUUAUCUAUUCGAUAGUGCCUUUCUACUUGGAUAACCGUAGUAAUUCUAGAGUUAAUACAUGCCUAAAGACCCAACUGGUUGUCGGACGGGUUGUAUUUAUUAGAUUGAAACCCAUACUCUUCGGAGUUUUUGAGUUGAGUCAUAAUUACUGUGCGGAUCGCGUUUUUCGCGAUAAAUCGAAUGAGUUUUUUCCCUAUCAGCUUUCGAUGGUAGGAUAUAGGCCUACCCUGGCAUUUACGGGUAACGGGGAAUUAGGGUUUGAUUCCGGGGAGGGAGCCUUAGAAACGGCUUCCCCAUCCAAGGAAGGCAGCAGGCGGGGAAAUUACCCAAUCCUGACACAGGGAGGUAGUGACAAUAAAUAACCAUGCCGGGCUUUUUCAAGUCUGGCAAUUGGAAAGGGGACAAUUUAAAUCCCUUAUCGAGGAUCAAU
rnacentral:rRNA from 1 species